CGUGGACUGGCCGAGCCGAGCAGGGGGGCCCUGCCGAAGACCCGGAACAGUAGCUGCCGCAUAUCCAAGCCUCGCCGCGGCUCCCGCCCGUGUAGAAAGAGUCACGCCACGUCGUGGCUUCUCGGCAAGACAGUCGUUACAAGCUAGAAACGGGCUGCAGGAAGUGAUUACAAACGCCGGCUUCACAUCCCUCGUGGGCAGGAAAGCCCCUCGCCUGCAUAAGAGCUGAGCCUCCCGGCUCCCAGGAGGGCCAAGUGAUCCUGUGCUAACACCGGUGGGAAGCUGAAUGAAAGAAAGGGUUUUUGAUGGCCCAUGUUAGUAAUUUUGCAUUUAAAAAUAUUUUAGGUAGCUGUAGCAAUGUGAUUUCAGGUGUUGGUAAUUUUCCUUCUGUCCUUUUUCUAAAUCUCAAAGAUCCUUUCAAAGUAAGCAAACCCAAAAGUAA